rnacentral:tRNA from 1 species
UGCGGGAUCGUCUAAUGGUAGGACGACAGCCUCUGAAGUUGUCUAUCUAGGUUCGAAUCCUAGUCCCGCAG